AAAACUCAGCUUAUUAAAAGUGGAUCGAAGUCUCCUCGAAUUUCUACUUUUGGGCUAGGUAAUAUCUUGUACCAUAACUGGUUGUGUAUCAAUGUUUUCAGGUCGUCCGAUUAAUCGCGAUUAUUAAUCGUCCUGGUCGGUCAGGAGUGCUCGAUUAGGAGGUCCGACCCGACCAGGUCGACCAGAAACCUGGUCGUCCGAUUAGUCGUCCACUUAUCGCGAUUAAUCGUCCGAUUAGGACAUGGACGACCAGGUUGUGUGCUCUGUUUUUGGGCUUUUUUGACUGGGCAGAUAUGUGGGGGGUAUGGAGAUGCUGUUGGUUGUCCCAGUUCUCCAGAAAUAGUUAAGAAGGAGAUGUUGGUUUACAUCAAAAAGAGUUGAAGAUGAAGAGGAAUGUUGGUUUACAGUAAUGCAGUCUUGAUGCUUACUUUAUUGUGUAUAAUAUAGUGUAUAUAUAGAGGUAUAUAUAUAGGUCGACCAGCUGAUAUGCCUGGACGACCAGGGGGACGACCAGGGUCGAUUAAUCGACCUGGUCGCUGAUUAAUCGCGAUUAAUCGCCUGGUCGGUCCCAGGUCGACCAGGAUCGACCAGCCGACCAGAAAACAUUGUUGUGUAUUGCUCAACUGAUCCAACUACUACUAAAAAAACAUAUCAAGCUAUACCAUGUAGGAAAAUUCUCUGUUGUUUUUUUAGAGUCAUGUAUGUAUCCUUUAGUCCAACAUCUUUCUAUGGAGAUAUUUGCCUUUUAAGUUAAUUGCUUUUGAACCAC
rnacentral:lncRNA from 1 species